UCUGCUCCGUCUCUGCCGCUGGUACCUCAGUGAAAACUCAGCGGUCCUGUGUUGCAGCGAGCAGAACAGGAAUGCCUGGAAGGAGCACAGCCGGUGCCUGUGGACUGAGGACCAGCGGACGGCCAGAGUGUGGUGUGGGACACGGGGAUACCUUCAACACCGUCUGCAGCUACAGCUUUAGGAGACAUCUCUCAGCUGUUGUGACACCGGGGUAAUUUCGCAAGCGGUGGAGUAGACACGGGUUGUGGCGGUGUGCUGACGAGGAAUUCACAAAAGUCUGGGAGAAAGUUCUUACGUGGCCACUUCAUCCUGGAGUAAGUGACUGCCAUCAGCAAAUGGGAAAUCCCAUCCCGCUCUCUUCUUGCCCCAGCUCUUUGUUGUUGCCACCUCCCUUGCUCAAGCGUUACUCUUCAUGGCAAUGACCUGGAUCACAAAAGGCAUCCAGCUAAAAACUAGGCAGGUUAAAAAAUAAAAUAAAAUAGAAUCACAAGCUUGGAUGCAGGCCAAGCUGAAGUGCCUCUGCAGCUUGCAGCUUGUAAGAGUAAAAGUCAGAACAGGGCUAUUAAAACUUGCCCAUAAAGAUCUAGGAGGGAGCCAUGCAUUAGGAAUGAAUCACGGGAAGUUCAAAAGCCGACUUCUUUCCCCAAAAGGAUCUGCUCCCAGAGCCGGUGACUUUGCCAGGCCAAACGUCUGAAGGGUGCAGCCGCUCACCGGUGCAGCUUCCUCGAUGUGGGAGCUGCUCCCUGCCGCGGUGCAUUAGCAUUUUUUUCCAUGGGCACAGGCUAGGAGAGACAGGUUUCUUCACAUUCUCCCGUAUCUGCCUGAGAACAGCCUUCAGGAGGAACGCUGAGACACCACAGACUUCAUAUGUAACAGCUUUGGUGUGGGAACCGUGAUCAACUGCUCUGUAAGGUUUUGGCUGGCUGCCCAGCCUGCCGGUGUUUGAGUUCUUGGGAUGUCCUUGCACAGGAGUUGGAGGCGAUUUAUAGCUCGUGUGUUGGGAAACAGCUCUCGUGUCAAUCGUUUUUCCGAGAUAAGUGGCGAACGUGGAGUCUUCUGGGACUUUUGGGUAGAAAGACUUCAGAUUUUUGUUUUCUUUUGAAGAAACCGAGGCAGCGCUCCCAGUCCUUCUAUCCCAAGUAGGAGGCAUUUGUGUGUUGGAAGAGUUUUGUUUCUGACAAUCUGCAUAAGAGAAACAAAAGAAUUAGCCUGAACCCCCACCUCCUCCCAGACAGCCCUGCCUGAGCGCAUUUUCGGGCUGCUUCUGCUCCGAAAAGAUUUACGGCUGAGCUUUUCAGCUGUGCCGCGAGGCCGAGGUGCUGGCUCCCAAAAACGCCGCUUCCAGGUGCCGAAUGCAGGCCCCGGUGCCUGGUGGCGAGGACCCCGAGCCGAGGAGAGUGGUGGCCGUUGUUUAGUGUUGAUGUGUCCUCUCACACGAUCGCCAAGUUCCAGCACAGUGGUGGUGAAGCCAGUCCUGCAUCGAUGCUGGGAUUUCUAAACUUUUGUAAGAUAAGUUUAACCCUUGCUCUCCACUGGAGGUAGUGGCACGCGUGCCCCUAAAUCUCUGUAACUGCUUUACAAAUUCCAGUGCCACAAGAAGCUAAAACCCAGGCUCAGGCGUGCCUGGAGGCGGGCACACAUGGAGGCACCGUCUUCUUUUGGGUGCUGGCAGCAGAACAAGCCUGGCAUCUCGGUUAUCUGUGCUACAGAAAGUGACCUGAGCCUGCCUCAAUUCCUGGGGAUCCUCACAGUUGAGAGUUUUCCCUUCCAGAACUGGGCCAUGCCCUUCAACUCCAAGCUGACCUCUACAUCACAAUCGCUGUUCCAGCUCUUCUUUCGGACUCCCCUCUGGACGUGAUGGGAGCAGAAUGGCACACCGGUGAACGAGAGGAGUGCUGCAGAGGAAUUUCAGCGCUGUGGUAUUUGAAGAUAAAGUGAGCAAAAGAAAUGCAAAGGGCUUUCUGUGCCCCGCCAGACAGGGGUCUGGCUGGCUGAAGGGAGCCAAAGGCACGCGCAGACUUGCUGCUUUUGCAAUGCACAUAAUUUCUCAGUUUUCAUGGAUUUCCAGUGCUAUGGCAAAUGUUCCACAUUUUUAGCAAAUUCUGGAUAUGGCAAAUAAGUAACUUGUGAUUUAAAUGAAUCAAAAUUAAUUGAAGGCAUAUUUCCCCAAACUGUUCAGAGAUUCUUGAGAAGUCUAAUUAUAUCAGCCAGACCGCACCUCCGCGAGCCAAAUAUCCUUUAUCCUAAAUACAGCUAGGAAGAGGUUAGGCAUGUGACACAGCUCUUGCUAUUCAGAAGCUUUUGUUUCUUGCAGACUUUGUAAAUUGUUCUUCUGACUGCCUCUAUGGAUUUCACCACAGCUUGUCCAGCUGAGCAGGUUAGGGAGAUGCUAAGAAGGUGCUAAGGGAGGCAAAAGCUUAUAUUGUAAGGCAAAAUACAUCAUAUUAACAAAAAAUAAUGUUAAGUAUUAUGCAUAAAUAUUUAACUUAUAUGUUUUCAAUAGGUCAUCAUUUACAUGACUGGGUAUAAAACAACUGAAAAAAACCUGGGGCAUAUGAGAUGGAAUUUAAUAUUCCUCUAAAAAUGUAAGCGGCAAAAUUUAUCAUAAAUGGCUAUUGUUAUGUAAAUGGACCAAGCUUCUUUUGCUGUUCUGUGGUUGGGUUGUUUUUAAUCCUUGGAGAUACAAUAUAUGCACACACACCAUGGUUGGUUAUCAACGUAGAUUUCAUUUCCUUGUGUUUGCCUGCUUAGUGCAGACUCAUUACUGACCAGUAAAGUCCUUUGUUGACACAAAAA